CAUGGUUGAAUGUGGUACAAGUAUAACUGACUUUCAAGAACUUGCAAGGCAAGCCCUUCAAAAAAUGAAUUGUAGUUACAAAUGACGAAACUGAUUACGUCCGAGAAUUAGAUGUCACUCACCUGACAACAAAGCUUAGUUUUUUCGCUUAUCUUUUUGGCAUUAUUUUUUUUGUCUCAAGUCAUUUGACUAUUUUAUCGACCAAAAAAGUGCUAGUUUGGCUGUAAUUUACAUUUGUAUUACACUAUGUUACACUUUGUGACCAUAAAUUUCAUUGAACUCAUAUUACUUGAUUGACUUUUGACAUAUUUGUUGUUUCUAUAUGAUGGUAGUCAAUGAUUGAAAUAACCCAAACUCAAGAUGGGGAAGUAGGAGACGAGCCAACAUCUGUCAUUUUCCUUGGUGGUAAAAUCAUUCAUGUUGCGAAAAAAAGCCUUCAUUGACGAUAAAUAUCAUCCCACAGUCACAUGCAUG